GCUACGCGAGGCAGCAGUGGGGAAUAUUGGGCAAUGGAGGAAACUCUGACCCAGCAACGCCGCGUGAAUGAUGAAGGUCUUCGGAUUGUAAAGUUCUUUUCUAAGGGAAGAAGAAAGUGACGGUACCUUAGGAAUAAGCCUCGGCUAACUACGUGUCAGCAGCCGCGGUACUACGUAGGAGGCGAGCGUUAUCCGGAAUGACUGGGCGUAAAGGGAGCGUAGCCCGCAGGGCCAGCGUGCUGUGAAAUGUCCGGGCUCAACCCGGGCCUUGCAGCGCGAACUGGCUGGCUUGAGUCCGCGGAAAGCAUGCGGAAUUCGUCGUGUAGCGGUGAAAUGCUUAGAUAUGACGAAGAACCCCGAUUGCGAAGGCAGCUUGCUGCAGCGGAACUGACGCUGAUGCUCGAAAGCGCGGGUAUCGAACAGGAUUAGAUACCCGUGUAGUC
rnacentral:rRNA from 1 species